GAUGAACGCUGGCGGCGUGCCUAAUACAUGCAAGUCGAGCGAACAGACGAGGAGCUUGCUCCUCUGACGUUAGCGGCGGACGGGUGAGUAACACGUGGAUAACCUACCUAUAAGACUGGGAUAACUUCGGGAAACCGGAGCUAAUACCGGAUAAUAUAUUGAACCGCAUGGUUCAAUAGUGAAAGACGGUUUUGCUGUCACUUAUAGAUGGAUCCGCGCCGCAUUAGCUAGUUGGUAAGGUAACGGCUUACCAAGGCAACGAUGCGUAGCCGACCUGAGAGGGUGAUCGGCCACACUGGAACUGAGACACGGUCCAGACUCCUACGGGAGGCAGCAGUAGGGAAUCUUCCGCAAUGGGCGAAAGCUUGACGGAGCAACGCCGCGUGAGUGAUGAAGGUCUUCGGAUCGUAAAACCCUGUUAUUAGGGAAGAACAAAUGUGUAAGUAACUAUGCACGUCUUGACGGUACCUAAUCAGAAAGCCACGGCUAACUACGUG
rnacentral:rRNA from 1 species